rnacentral:lncRNA from 13 species
CUUUUAUCAAUAUAUUUGGCUCUAUUUACUCUCAGAUUCAAAAAUAACAAUUAGCAUCAAAGUAGACAAUGUGCAAAACCACAAAUCCCUGCAGGCUCCUGCACGUCAUCUCUAGCUGACACGUUUGCUAACAGGUAUUGUGUCAAAUUAAAACCUGCACAAGACAGUUCACAGAAUUGUCCAUUUAAAGAAAUGUUUCCAAUUUCUUCAUUACUACAUUUAGCUAACAUUAGAUAGUUCAUCCAGAUUAUUACCUUUGUCUCGAUGCAGCAGUCUCGUCCAGAUCAUCAUGUCAUUCUUUGUAAUUCUUUAUGAUAGUCACAUUUGCAGCUAAUUAGCAUUCCAUUUAUAGUGGGUAAAACAGGCCAAUAUAUUGAUAAAAGUCACCUUGUCCUAGAGAGAUUUACAUGGUUAUCUAAAUGUCCCGCCAGGGCAAGCCGACACGAAACACAGCCCUUAUUUGAAGGUUUUCUCAAAUCCCCUAUGGGAAAAUGAACGGUGGAAAAAUGAUUGGAACCAUUUCCCAGUUUGACCGCUAGGUUUUAUGGGUAUUAUGACUCAUACUGUGGUACUCUAUAGGGACACAGGGCUGCUGUCAAUGGAGAAGGAUGAAGCAACCAGUCUGCCUACGGAGGAAUGAGCCUGACAGCUGGUAGGUAGAAUCCUACUACACAACUCUACUAGGUCACAUGGUUGCCUCCUUACUAUCCCUCUGAUCCUCUUUCGCUCUCUCAAGCUCUAAUUCUCUGCGUGUGUACGGUCAUUGGUGUACAGUGAGGGAGAGAGGAAGGGGGAGGGGAGAAAUGGGAAGGAGGAGGAGCGGCUGAGUUGAGAGAGAGGAGAGGCACAGGGGGAUCGGUCUGUGAGCCCAGCUCAACGACAGAACGAGAGGUUGCAAAGAGUGUGGAGAGGAAAAUAGUCACAGUCCUUAUUCUCUGUCGGGCGUGGAGAAAAGAGACAAGGAAUAUACACACAUUCCUUUUGAGAGAGAGUGAAGGAAGGAGUGAUAGAAAAGAGAAGUGGACUAGAUAGAUCUACUACAUCGAAGAACGAGCUAUUCAGUGGACGUUGGCGGCUUUGCUGUCACAGGAAAGGGAGGAGGGGAGGGGGGAACAAGGGAUCAUGCUGGUCACGGCGGGACGGUGGAGUGUGUGUGCAAGGGUGUAUCGUGGCGUCUGCUUCGUGCUGGAGGAGUGUGUUUGAGGAAGAGAAUUCCGGCGAUUCAGUGCCAUGCUAUGGACUAGGAGCCAGCUGGAGUCUUGCUGAAGACAUGGCCCAGGAGUGUUGGCGCAAUGAGACAACUACCAUGCUUCAAGGGGUGGCAACUGUCCGGCGCUACCUCCGGAUGUAGUGGUCGAGAUGUAGUAAGUAAGCAAGUUUACAUUUGAGUAAUAUCACAGAUUAUCCAUUAUAUUGACCAGAUACUCUAGUGGCCCAACCUAGUGGUCCAACCUAGUGGCCCA